rnacentral:tRNA from 1 species
GUCUAGGGUAGCCUAGUGGACAUGGCAUCUGCCCGGUAAGCGGGAACACUGUGGUUUCGAUUCCCCAUCCCUGGACA